AACGCACAUUGCGCCCUUUGGUAUUCCGAAGGGUAUGCCUGUUCGAGCGUCAUUAUCACCCCUCAAGCCCCUAUGGCUUGGUGUUGGAGGGUCUGUGGUUGGGCCUUAGGCUCGACCCCUCUUAAAGACAAUGACGGCGGCCUCGGGGGACCCCCGGUACACUGAGCUUCUUUACUAAGCACGUAUCGGAUUAAGGGUUGCCCGGGACACGGUCUACUCCCUUUGCUGGGAAAUCUUUUUUCAAAGGUUGACCUCGAAUCAGGUAGGAAUACCCGCUGAACUUAA
rnacentral:misc_RNA from 1 species